UCUGCAUUCAUCACUGUCACCGAGCCGGAGAGGAGAGCUGGCGUCACGGGAGGACAGCGCAGAGCGUGUAUUUGUGUCUGGCGGAGACAGUGUGUGUGAGCAGGAAAACCUAAGAGAGCAGGCGAAGCCUCGGGCCUUCCCUGUGAUCUCUGCCGCCCUUCCACGAGGGUCCCACACCCCGGGUCAGAAACCACUGAUACAGCUCAUUCCUCUUCCCUUUAUUGAUGUCCAACGACGACUGAAACCACAUCCCUGACACACACUACCGCACGUUCCGUCUGCUGUUGUGCGAGUGUCCUUGGAGCUGGGCUUUCUGACCUCGGGACCCCGAACACUUGAGGGUGCGAGAAAUCACCUCUCCUGUCUUCGAGAAAGACGCGCACGGACAGUCACGCCG